rnacentral:rRNA from 1 species
UGCCAUUUGGUUAUGUACGUUCACUGUUUACCCUGCAUAGAAAGGAACUUAAACUUCCAGCCAGCUCUGCUAGGAUCCAACGUUGCAACCUCGAGUGAUGCAAAAGAGCCCGCAUAGAUAGCCCUUGUGCAGUCUAAUAUGGUGUACGUCAGGUUGCACUUGUGGUGUUCAUUUAACUCGUAAUCCCGUCCACUUAUUAGUCCCUUCUAAUCUACUCCCUCCGUUCCUAAAUAUAAGUCUUUGUAGAGAUUGCACUGGAUGGACUACAUACGGAGCAAAAUGAAUGAAUCUAAACUUAAAAUGCAUCUAUAUAUAUCCGUAUGUGGUUUAUAGUGGAAUCUCUACAAAGACCUACAUUUAGGAACGGAGGGAGUACACAACAGUGUUUCAAUUUGAGGUAAGGCCUACAGAAAAAAGGGAAUCGUUUCUGGCCGGGGCACCGGCCGAACCGUUCCGCUGGUCUCGUCCACGCGCGCACGCUGCAGCAAGUUAAGUCACGACACGUGGAGUGGUGGGUCCCAAUCACACGGCCUUAUCCCCUUCCAGCUUUCUCUUCAACUGCUCGUCUUCUCUCUCUUCCCACCUUGCAGAUCCCGCCUCGCCGGCGUUCUUCCGAGCUGCCGUCCCCUCGUGGCACCAGCAGCUACCCUUCUUCCUUCUCCCUCUCCUCCCUUUCCUCCUCCUCUCUUCCCUUUUUGCUGCAACCGGCGACAGGCCAAACGCGGGGAGGAACCGAGGUGCCCGUGCUACAACCAUGGCCACGGGGAGGAGCUGCAACCGCGGUACUGGGAGAGUUGCAAACAGCGUUUUCCCGUGCUACAACCAUGGACACAAAAAGCUACAUCCAGUAGAUAAAAAAGCUUCAACCAGACAACGAAAUACAGGAAAUGUUACAACCGUUUUGACAAAAAGCUUCAACCCGCAGAUGAAAAAGCUUCAAAACAAAGAUUGAGAAAAUCCUCCUCGAUGACGACCAUGGCGUCUCUCUGUGUUUUUGUUGCAACCGCAGAGUAAAAAGCUGCAACCCUUUGUGAAAAAAGCUUCAAGCUCAGGUGAAAAAAGCUUCAAUUGGCAUGAUGGAAAGCUUCAAUCCGCGAGAAAAGCUUCAACAGGCAUAGAGAAAAGCUUCAACCGAUGAGAUAAAAAGCUUCAACCUGACUCGCCAAUGGCAGCGAGCGGCGACGUUGAGAGCUGCGUCGGUGACACGACAGUGCAGCGACGAUGGCGGCAGCUAGGUGUUGCAACGACAGGGAGUGCCAGUAUGCUUCAAGACGGCGCCAUUUUUUGCUAUGAGGGGGCGACGAGCUUUCUGCUAGACCAGGGGGUGAGUACUGAUGCUGCGACGGUGAUGGGGACAGCGACCGGCGGCGACGGGGACGGAGAGUGCAUCUAGCAGCGUGGGACUAGGGGGAAAGGAGGUCCAGGCGAGAGGGCAGUCGCCGGCGGCAGGAGCGGCUAGGAUAGGGGCGCGGUGAAGAAGAAGAAGAGGAAGAAGAAGUUAACGUGGGGGAAGGAGGCACGAGGAACAGAUCUGACAGCUCAAGCUCGCGGAUCAGACGGCUGGGGCUUGACCGGCCCAACGAUUGGGCCGGUGCGCCGGCGCAGAUCGUUGCCCCACAAAAAAAAACAUCAAUGGCGUUCCUUUUGGCCUCUUCUUCGGUGUCCUACUACCCUAACGCUACCAUGGCACGCACACUACAUUUCUACUACUCAUCCUGUUGGCAACCAAACGACAAGUAUGCAACGCAGCCAAAAGAGUAAAAUACAUUCAUGGUCACUGAACUUGUACCAUAAGCUCACUUUGGUUACUGUACUUAAGAAUACGGUCAAUACGGUCAUCAUAUAUGACUUGAGGUGAUUUUACGGUCACUGCCUCAACGUAUUGCUCCGUAUUUUACUCUAUUGACCGAUCAAACGCCAUGUAACCCUCUCUUUACCUUUACGUGGGUCCCACCUUUCAGUGGAAAAAAGAAAUAAAUCGCUAUGCCUGCUAGCCAGUUAACCACAGGAUCAAUGUGUGCACAAUUAAUUUGAGCCAUUAUUUUUGUUUAGUGUCGUAGCUGCCGUGUGUGUGCAUGCAUGCUAUCGUGCGCGGGUGCGACAGGGCUUCGUGCUCCCUCUGCAUGCUACCUACUAGUAGUAGGUAUAUAGGACGUUCGCCGCCUUCUCCCACGCGGACGCAUUCCCAGGGCGUGCCGCUCCACUCCAUGCCGCACGCCAUCGCCACCUGCACCCCAACGAGCCCGGCCACCAUAGCCGCAUACAUUGCGCAGCUGUCAGAGUUACACACGAUGUGGACUAGCAAGUACUCCCUCCGUUCCUAAAUACUUGUCUUUCUAGGCAUUUCAACAAAUGACUACAUACGGAGCAAAAUGAAUGAAUCUACACUCUAAAAUAUGUCUACAUACAUCCGUAUGUAGUAGUCAUUUGAAAUGUCUAGAAAAACAAAUAUUUAGGAACGGAGGGAGUACAAGCUAUCUUUGCGUAAAAAGAACUUCACCGCCAUUGUCACCGUCGUUCGUCGCCGUUCGUCAUGUGUCGUCGAAAAGUACCGGGCUACACGGACUGGGCCAACAGCAGCUCCACGCUGGAAGCAGGUACUAGUAUCCUCUUAGCUCCAUGCCCCCUAUCAUCAUAUUUUCUUCACUUCUUGAGCUCCACGCGCAGGCUAUGCACGCAGCCAACAGCGAGGAAUAGCGUGUUCUCUGUUGGUACGCCCCUAGAAGACCAGCUGCACCAGCGUCAGAUUCAUUCACGUAGCUCCCUCCCUGUAACCACUAAACCAUUUUUUUAGAGAAACUAACUGCUAGACCUAGUCUCACGUACAUGAUUGCAUGAGCUUAUCUAGAUGAGUUAGAUACGGAGGUUGUUAGCGUAGUUGCCGCACCUACCUGCUCAUCAUCCAUGUACAUUCUCUCGUGCGAUGAUGGUGAAUACAGUUGAGCACGGUGAAUGAAUACGGUUGAAAAUCCCCUCAAAAAAAAAAAGAAUACGGUUGAAAAUAGUUGCAGUUGCAAUCUUUCUCCUUCUAUCUCGUCUUACAUUCUCGACCAGCGUCUCGGCACAAGCAGCUGAGACCGGUGUGCUCGCUUGAACAUGGCCAUGUUCCCGUUCACCGGCAUGCACGCGCAGCCGCACAGGCCUUAGUUGUUAGCUCGACAACAUGGACACCAUGAUGAGCACGGCGAAGGUUCACACAUCUAGACCUUGCCCCGCAGCAUUCGCCUUGCCGGUAAACAUAUUGUAGAGCAUAGGAUUUAGGACACCCCCUUAUCUAGCCACUCAUCUUCGCCUUGCCACCGGCGACAUGUAAAUGAUACCCAUGAUGGCGACGGCGCCGAGGACGUGCACCACCAGAAGGAUGGCGACGCCGACAAAGAACUGCGACAAUACAACGUCGCGCCUCAACCUCGUGUUGUGCAAGUAACCCAACGGCUUGCGAAAGUGUUGCGUGCAUGCGAUUUAAGUGUGUUGUGCACGUGUUAAUUAAAUGGGCGACGCUAGACGCCGGUGCACCGGCCCAAAUUUGGGCCGGUCGCGCCCUAACCCUUCGAUCUGGCGUGGAUUGGUCGUCCGAUCUGGCAUCUCCACGCGCCUUGACUCGUCUUCAACCUCCACCCCACGCACCCCCGCCCCUCUGCCCCACACGCCCCCGCCUCCGUCUGCACAUCCGCGAGGGCAACGGCUGCCGGCCGCUCGCUCGUAGACCCAUGAUGCACUGCUGCCGCCACUCGUCGUCAACCCUCGCUGCACGGAUUGCGCAGCCAACAACCACCAGUAAAUGACAUUGAAUGGAUGUAGCAAAAUACAUCGCCGGUAGUAGCAAAAAACACAAACGGUUGCAGCAAAAAUUCGUAAUCGAUCUCCGUCCUCCCGCAAAAAGCUACUACCGGUGAAAUAAAAUGUCACAACUGCGAAUUGAAAAGUUGCUACUUCGAAACGGGGGAUUGAUGCCAUCGGUGAAGAAAAAAGUUGAAACUAGCGGCAUGAAAAGCUACGACCAGCAAAAGAAGCUGUUAGAACCGACGAAUCAGAAGUUGCUUACUGGAGGAUAAAAAUUGCUACAAUCAACCAAAAAAAAGCUGGAACCGACAAAUCAAAAAGCUGCAACCAGCUAAAUCAAAAAACAAAAGCCAUAGGAGGAAAGUAAUGUUGCAUCCGCAUGAUGUCCGAGCAGGGUGUGCUCGGCAACAGGUGGUCGCCGCGCUAGCCCAGCAGCAGCCCCCUCGCCGCUGACGGACUUGCGCUCGCCGCCCCGCCUGCAUCCACUCACAGGUUGGCUCCUCUAGUUUGCAUCAUCGGCGGGUGCCCAAAAAAUCAGAGGGGCGGCAGGAGGUGGGAGGCGGGGGGAUUGAUUCUCAUCGGCCUUCAGCUGCAAAUAAAACAACGAGCUAGAGAGAGAGAGCUCUCCGCCGUCCAGAGAUCGCGAGAUGUUUGCGCUGGAAGGAAGAAGAUAAGGUUUGGGUGGUCCCAGAUGCUUCUCGAGGGAAAGGGAUAAGUCUGGCGAUGGUUAUAUUAUAACCGCACGAUCGUGGGUAUCCCACGUACGCGACACGACCGGCGCUUUGUUCGGCCGGCGCACCGGCAGCCAGCGUUUUCCUAAUUAAAUAUGCGUUCAAGUGUGCUGUAUGCGUG